GACGAACGCUGGCGGCGUGCUUAACACAUGCAAGUCGUACGGUAAGGCCCUUUCGGGGGUACACGAGUGGCGAACGGGUGAGUAACACGUGAGUAACCUGCCCACAACUUUGGGAUAACGCUAGGAAACUGGUGCUAAUACUGGAUAUGUGCUCCUGCUGCAUGGUGGGGGUUGGAAAGCUCCGGCGGUUGUGGAUGGACUCGCGGCCUAUCAGCUUGUUGGUGGGGUAGGGGCCUACCAAGGCGGCGACGGGUAGCCGGCCUGAGAGGGUGACCGGCCACAUUGGGACUGAGAUACGGCCCAGACUCCUACGGGCGGCAGCAGUGGGGAAUAUUGCACAAUGGGCGCAAGCCUGAUGCAGCAACGCCGCGUGCGGGAUGACGGCCUUCGGGUUGUAAACCGCUUUCAGCAGGGACGAAGCUUUUUGUGACGGUACCUGCAGAAGAAGCACCGGCUAACUACGUG
rnacentral:rRNA from 1 species